CGCGUAGGCGGUCUUGUAAGUCAGGUGUGAAAGCCCGGGGCUUAACCCCGGAAGUGCACUUGAAACUAUAAGACUUGAAUAUGGGAGAGGGAAGUGGAAUUCCUGGUGUAGCGGUGAAAUGCGUAGAUAUCAGGAGGAACACCGGUGGCGAAGGCGACUUCCUGGACCAAUACUGACGCUGAGGCGCGAAGGCGUGGGGAGCAAACA
rnacentral:rRNA from 1 species